rnacentral:rRNA from 1 species
GCCUGAGAGAUGGCUMCYACGUCCAUGGACGGCAGCAGGCGCGGGAAUUGCCCACUCUCUGUAAUUGGAGGAGGCAGUAACGAGGCAUUAGCGGAGCAGGUGUAAAGAGCCUGAAUACCGACUGGAGGGCAAGCUCGGUGCCAGCAGCCGCGGUAAUACCGACUCCAGGAGUGUCUGUGGUGGAUGCUGCAGUUAAAAGGUCCGUAGUCGGGCGGCAGGGACAGGGCGUAGGUCAGAUACGCAUGGGCUGCCGGGGAUAGCGGAGCGGGCAGGGUGCGCAGAAUGGUUGGGCGAGCGAUGAAAUGCCAGGACCCCAGGCGGACUGACGGAGGCGAAGGCGGCGCACUGGGACGGAUCUGGGGAUCAAGGACGAAGGCUGGAGGAUCGAAGGCGAUUAGAGACCGCUGUAGUUCCAGCAGUAAACGAUGCCGACAGCGCGGCGCGUGGCGUGGCGCGGGAGAAAUUGUAGUGUACGGGCUCUGGGGAUAGUAUGCUCGCAAGUGUGAAAAUUAAAGAAAUUGACGGAGCUACACCACAAGGAGUGGAUUGUGCKGCUUAAUUURACUCAAC